CAACCCAGGCCAUUCUAUGAUUCAGUGAUUCAGGGUCUCUGCUGUAGUUUCCUAACUUCUGUGUUAUGCUUACAGCUGUGCUUAUGCUUGAAGUGAAACAAGCAUCCUCAACUUGUUUACUAACCUUGGCUGAUAUAUUUCAGUGUUGAGUUUAAGUGCGGGACAGAAGAAGUUGUAACAUCAAAUAUAAGCUUUGUUACUUGAAGAAUUAUUCCUAAGCUCUUGCUCACUUGGACUGCAGAAGGAGUCUCAUGGAGCCUUUUGUGCUGUGGAGCAUUACCACUCCAUGCUUUUCCCUCUGACAUAACUGUACAGCUCCUCGUUCAGCUUACACAGUGCUGCAGCUCUCUGUCAUGCUUUGUCAAAUACAAACACACAAUGUCUUUUUACACUUAAGUUAUUCAUUUCAUAAUUAGCUUAUAAAGCACUUUGAAGGCACAACAGAAAGUAUUACAUUAAGUGUUGCUAUUGGGCAGACAUAAUGCAGACAAUUAAAUAGUAACACCAUUAAAAAGACAUUGUGAGACUCGAAGGUAAAAUUAAGUCAUAAGUGCCUACUUUAUAUCCAAAUGUUACAUCUGUUGAUUACACAGUACAACCUAAAACUCUGAAAAUAAGCUUUAAUCUCUUUUUAGACACAGUCCUCCAGUUAGGAACUGCUGCAGACCAGACAGGUGUAUGGGAGGCCAGCAAGCAGCUGCUGUGGGUCAGUCUUCAUGGAAGAUUACAGCUGGAAGCUGUGCAGCCAGGGCUUGACCGUCAAUACUGAAGGUGACCACAGAGGGUUCUGCCUGUGGAUUGUUCCUGGCUAAAGAAAAGAUUGAAGACACCUACAGACCAGUGCCUGAGCCUUAUAGCAGUCCCCACGAGCCUGCACCACACACUUGUAUCUUCCUAUACAGUCUUGUAUGUGAGAUGUUUCAUAUGGGGAAGUGUCUCAAGGUAACCAAGAAGAAAUGCUGAGCACAGGUUGGUGUGAACUCCCAUGUUUUCCAGAUCUGACGUGCCAGAACAUAUGGGGACACAGCCCAGGCUGAACAGAACUCAUGAGUUCCACUUAUAACACAGCCCUUGUGCAUGAACAAAGGUUUCCAGUUUACAUUUUCCCACCUUUGUUAGGCAAGAGGAACAACUUCAGGUUCCACCCAGAAAAUGAGAAAGUAACAGCUGAGCACCUCUAUCCCUUAGUGCCAGCUAAAUGGAGUUUCUCAAAUCCUGGGUUUCUGUUGAGGUACCACCAACCUGCCCACAUCCUGCUUCAGGUAUUAAGUGCCGUUUUGGAUCCUGCUCACUGCCUUGCAUUCCUCAUGAUCUGUGUGGGCUUAGCAGACAGUUUUAAAAGCUUGUUAGACUGAUCAUCAGACCUUGACCUGAUCUUAUCAGUAAACUCAGGCAAGGUUUUAGACUCAAAAUCCCUUUAUCUUAAACCCUGAAGUUUAUUCACUUUUUCAUUAAGUUCGUCUAAUGAAAAAAAUUGUAUCUUUUAUCUUUAGCCUGUCACAGCUGCAGCACCUAUAAUACAGUAUAUUUGUAAGAGGGCUAUAAGCAGCCUGCCAUCAAGGCUAUGCUGAUCCUAUCAGCUUUACCCUCACGCCCCAGGGCUGGCUGGUGUCUUGGAGCACCCUACACCCCAGCAGCAGUGUGGUAUCUCAGUUUUUGAGAGAAGUUGGGUAAGAGAAACUUGCCAAGAAACGCUGUGUUCAGCUGACCGAAGCAGAAGCUGCAAUACUACAGUGCAACACUUGGAUACUAGGUCUGGAUUCAGGGACAUAAAAGAAAUGGGUAAGCACUUUCUUUGCAAAAUAGCUCCAACAGGAGGUCUGCAAGCUCCAGGUGCUUGUAAAGAAGAACUGGACAGCAGAAGGCACCCAAGGACUGAUGCAUUUUUUUGUUUAAUGGCCUCCUGUCAUUCCUGAAACCCUUUCUCUGAGACUCAGGGAAUACACACAAUAGUUUUGCUUUGGCCAACAACUAUUUUACAGUGUUCUGGGCACCAACGUGUACCUCAGUAAUUGUAGUAUGGCCCUGUUCAGCAACUCCCAGGUAGUUUGAUUUGCCUCUGCUUCCACUGCAGCUCCUACAGCUCUGGGGUGGCUGCAGCCCACUUCCCAGUAUGAACAAAAAACCCUCAGUAGAAAGAUGUGGAGUUAAGACUUCUCUGGCAACAAAAUUGAGUAAUCCCAAUCACCACCUUCAAAAAUUUGUGCCCUUGGGCCCUGGCCAGCGAUCCACUCUGUCAACAUCUUUACUGCCAACUUUACUCACAGGGGCACGAAUGUAAAUCUAGUAUGAGAAAAGGAUUAAGCCCAUUCUGAUUUUUAUGGCCUAUGAAAUGUGUGCUGCCCUGCUGUUGCUACACAAUAGUAAAUAAUACAGAAAAAGGGGAUUCAGGCUGGUAUUGCAUAUUUAAAAUUUCUAAGGAAAAACAUGUAAUCCUAGAUACUACUAAGCAGUGCAGUGUAUGUGCAUACAAGGUUUCUUCUAAGUCAGAAGCUAAAAGCCUGUACCUUGCCAGAUGCUGGUUGAGGUACAUUACUUUUCUCCUGCAAAAUAAGAUUAGCAACACCAAUUUUCCAUGUAUUCAAGUUUGGGGUUUUCUCUGCAAGGAGAUUAAAGCCCAGGCAAACACGAGUCUGCCUGGAUACUGCCCUGCUCUAUGUACAGCUCUCACUUGGGAUGAGACCUGUGCUUUUUAGGAAUCCCACUAAAAUGAGUAUUUCUUCACUGAUGAAUCACUUGGCUGAGAUUUGCAAGAAGGAUGGAGGGAAUUAGAUGCUAGCUUCUUAAAUUCAGUAGGGUAUGUGCUCCUGAGUCCUUUAGGUUGAUGUUUUCAUACGUACACAAAGACUAAAGAAGGUUCUUUUACUAUAACAUCUGUGAUUGGAUUUCAGGCAAUAUCUUUUGAUUCUAGCUUUCUAUAAUCUCAUAGCAGAACCUCAAUGCAAAUACUAGUAAGCAAUUGUUAGAACUAUUAAUAGUAUAACUCCACAGAGUUGUCAGCAGAAAAGCAUCUGAGCUAAGUACUUGUUCAAUUAAAGAUGCAGAACAAUGAGUAUAUAUGCACGUCUGAAAAGCAGACAAUAUUUACAAUGAACCCCAUAGCAGAAAAUAUAAAUAAUUUAUUACCUUUACUUCAUUACCUUUAUUAUUUUCUGAUUCAUACUGUUUUCUAUAAAAAGUCUCAUUCAGUAGCACAGGCAGUGCAAAGUUGCCAUUGCGUAUGUGUAACAUUUUCUGUACAACUGUGACUUUUUCUGUCACAGAGGAUAUGUAGUCAUUUGCCAAAGUGGAAAUCCAUCUUCCUGUUGGAUGUUAAUUUGCAUUCUACCUCUUUGCUUCAUUUUUCAGUCCUCUCAGCUCCAAUUUUGUGCAGAGCAGACAGAAAAUCAGCACGUGGAGCAGUGAUCCCCUGUUUUGGUACUUAGUGCUGUUUGGCAUCCUGGAUAUAUUUAGUAAACUGUCAUCUGUUAUAGUUGGGAUGGGGCAGCUCUGAUGUUUUGAUAAGCACUGACUGGGAGCAUCACACGGAGUCUUUAAAUUGCCCCUUCAUUUACACACCAUCUAUUCUGAAAGCAGCUUUAGAGGCUGUGUCCUCUCCCUUAAGCCCAUUGCGAGGUUCCCAGGCUACUGAACCUUCUGCAGCAGUGCAGGAAGCCUCCAGCUCCUGAGUAAAUGGUUUUGUAUUGAUUGGUAAAUAGUUUUCCUGAAACCAAAUGAAAUGUGUGCUAAAUAAGAGGCUAUUGCAUUUUCUGACUGUGUCGGGCUCUCCCUGCAGCAUGGCCCAGUCCACCUGCCAGUGUCAUCCUCCCAAUGACAAACCCAGCUAUUUUUGGCUGCUGAGGCCCUAUUACCAGGCACGGGGGAAUUACUGCACCACCAAAGCUCUGCUUCACAGAGGGCACUGGCCAGUGCUGUGCCAACACCCAUCACGUGCCUGUUUUCUCCAUCUAUUUUUCCAUACAGCUUUGGGAUCCUUGUGAACUGGUCCCGACAGUUCUCCUCCCACCUCCCAGGUGCAGAUCAUGUCCCAGCUUUGGUCACUAUCUCCCCAGUCUCUGGCCCUUGUUCUGCAGAAAUAAGUAUUUUUUCUGGAUUACAGUUUCUGCAGAAUUUCUACUGACAUACAGGUCAGCGCAGUGCUUUGUUAUUUGUCACGUGUACUGCUGGUGUUGGAAAAAGCAAGCUCAAAAAAGCACAUGUUGCAGGCAGGAGGAAAACUUCAUGAUGAUCAUAGUUCUGGAAUGUAUUAUUAUGAGGGUUUGUAGCGUUGAGUGUGUCAUUUGGGGUGCCUGUGCCCAUUGCUGCUGGAGGUGGGCAGAGGUGAGACAAGGCCCAGCCUCAGAUGAUUGAAGCCAUGCAUGAGCUUUGCUAGGGCUUGGUGGCUGGGGGCAAAAUGGUCCCAGUGGAUGGCCAGAGCAAGAAGUCAGAGGAGUUCCCAGCAGAGAAGAAUCUCAUUCAGAUGAGAAGGAGCAGCUGAAAAGGGAAGGAAACAUAAGCACAAAGAGCAAAGAAAUCCUGGCAGGAAUAUGGCUCUGAUAGAGAGGGUGGUUAACACAGAACCUCACUGCUGCUUCUUCCCUAGUGUCUCCAGCCAGGUGGUCUUCACCUCUUCAGCACUGGACUGGCACUUUUGGAAUUCAGAUAUCUCAGCCUAAAUGAGCCAAUGCAUCUGAAAAAUGGCCCUGAGGAAGGCACGUGGGUGGUUUUCUGCUGAGUGACCAGAUUGAGUGCAUGGGACCAUGGCUGACAGGUCAGAAGAAGGGGAGCAGGGCUGCAGCUCGUGGCAGCUCUACCCAUGCAGCACUCUCCUAUGGAAGGCAAGAUGUCCAUCCUCCAGGAUGCUCACAGAGCUUCAAACGCUGCCAGGACACAGGCACUGAAGACAUCAGGAAUAUUACGGCUGUGUUAAGCCCUUCCACCCUUAUCCUAUCACUAUUAGGCUGUGUGAAUCCAGUGAUCGCUCUGGGCCAGCAAGUGAUGAGCAUUCAGGAGCAAUUUACUGAAGCAGGAAUUACUACCACUGGAACUAGCUGUUGGAAAUGCUCCUACCAAAACAUCUUGAAGGUGUAUUACAAUGAUUUGUAAAUGGUGUGUGACCCCAAGUUUCUCCACUCAGGAAGGGAGGACAGUCUGAAGAUCAGCCCUGCUGUGUUUGAAACAUCAUGGAAUCAAAAUUUUUUGCUUUAGCCUUAAAACUGACAAGUGAAAGCAACAGAAGAAAUUGAUUUUUGCCUGGUUUGAUCCAUUGCAUGCUUGCAUAAAUGCAGAAUAACAGCAUGCGGCAUGCACCAUCCCUUUGCAAUCACAAAAACAUGAAAGACAGGAAUUUUUAUCAAUGCUGCCCUGCGUGCUUUAAAAGGAUGAUUUGACAUGAAGCUGGAGCAAAAGAGAAGUUACAGGGAGAGGCAUUUCCCUGGAAACCUGGAAAAGCAAUAGCUAGUUUUAUAGUCCUGAUAAGAACCACGUGGAAGUGAAUGGUGAGCUUAGAAACAUGUGCAAGACUAUGCUGAGAAAGCCCACUGUGAUGGCACCAGAACUCACUUGGCUCAUGCCAUCACGUGUUAAGCCUUUAAACUAUAUUAACUCCCUACUGGUUUAAUUUGCCUCCAAGAUCCGAAUUCCUUACCAGAAAAAUGGAGAGAGAAGCAGCUUCCAGGGCCAGCGCCAGGGGCUCCCCAAGGAAAGGUGAGCAUGGGGCAGCAGUGGUGGGGAUACCAGUCUCCCACAGGCUGUGCAAAGAACACAGUCCAGCAAUACGUGAAAACUCUGGGUUGUUUUUUUUUUUUUUUUUUUUUUGCUCUGAAUUUGGUGAUAUGCAAAAAAGAAUGCCUAGUUUUCAUUUAUUUCAGGAAACUUCUUGAAGAGAAGAUUUCUGUGGCUGCAAAGAGUAUUUACAAAGCAUGAAAAUUUUGGACAAAAAAUACACAUGUACUUCCUAUAUUCAAUCAAGGCCUUCAGUAAUGAUUUCUGUUACACAAAAAGCUAAAGCAUUCCGCAGUUCAGCUUUGCUCAUUGAAACCCAACACAAAUAGAAAACACGGAUUGAUCAGGAUUACUUUGGUGUUCAGGUUAAAUCUCAAGGUAAAUACUUACCUCAUUUUCUCUGCUCAGGGAGUGUAUUAAAUAGGCAAUAAAACCUCGUGUCUCACAGUACCUUUUUCAUUACUGCAGCAAGAUCUCAGACCUUAAAAGGUCCUGUGAGACCUUUUGCCUGUGAGAGGCCAGAGGGGCAGGAUGUGAGUGCAAAGAAGGAUGCUGCACCCUCUUCAUCAUACACUUUCUUUUGUUUGCCUUUGCAGUCGGAUGCUUUGUUAAGGCUUUAUAGGGAUACUGAGACUCAGAAUCAUGUCUAAGGGCAGACUGAUAUUUCACACUUACCAUAUAUGCUUUUGUAUGCAUUUUCUAUGGUCAGAAGCCCAGCAGACAUGCACACAUUGGCACCAUGCUCUGCCAGCACAAGUGUGAAAGCUGGAAGCCCUGCUGCCCUCCUGUGUGUACCAGCUUGUGCCUUACAGGUCCCAGCAGCCUGCAGGCAGCCUUGAGUGUUCAGUCCCACCCCUUUUUUCCACUAAUGCUAUUGUUCAGCUCACAAAUACAGGGCUCCUGUUCCUUCCAUGCAGAACAAAGCGCCCGUGCCAAUAACUGAGUUCCCUGCCAAGAGUCAGGAGAUCUCUCCUCUCCCCUGUUCGAGGUGACCUAGCAGCAGUGCUCUUUUUUGUUUAUUUACCAUCUAUGCCUUAUUUUCAACCCCACCGUGUGCCCAUAGAACACAAUAAGUAGAGAGUCCUCAUGUCAGUCAGGGGUUUUGAGGAUGAGAACGUCACUUAGUGUGACACCUGUGGGCUAUCUACAUCCUAUGAGCUUUCCUUCAUGACUCUGGUGCCCAUGUGGGUGAGACUUGCUAGUAAGUGCCACAUUCUGGGGAAGGGCAUAAAGCUGUCGUGCUCCCAGUGCCAGAGGUGUUGUGACAGGCAUAGGAAUACAUGAGAGCUUUGCCCUACGCUCCUUCCUGCAUUGACAUUUUGCAGGUAGGUGAUGGCAAGUUUUGCUGAAUCCCCACGGCUGGAUGCACAUGGCACUGAAGGUGGCCUUCAGGGAGGUGUGUUUGCUUGCAUGAGUUCAUGGCUUAGCAGAUGUACAACCCAGCUGCAGCUCAGUAUGGUGUUCCCCUUCUCCCUACCUCCAGGCUGGAUGUGGAUCUGGGCAGCCUGGUCUGGUGGUUGG